CAGGUGCCGCUGACUUUACAUUUGACGCUGACUGGAACACAUGUGAAAAUAAAACUAUAGAAGUGGUGUUUACGAAGGAACUUGGUCAAACAGUCAUAGUAGAUUAUGAAAUCCUUGAAGCGCCAGCAGGACCCCCAGGUAGCUUAACAAUAGGAAUUGGAGGAGGACCCACUUCGAAUGGUUUAAGUGCAUUUCGUAGCGAAUAUGAUCCAACAAAAGAUUAUAUUAUAUAUUAUAGAGAACAUAAUGCUCCGGGUGCACCCAUACAGUUUGUUAUUGUAACUAAAUGUACCACCCCUCCACCACCAACUGAUGCGACAACAGGUAAGA